GGGGUUGUUGCUCAGUGGUAGAGCGCUCAACUAGCACAUGUGAGGCCCUGGGUUCGAUCCUCAGCACCACA
rnacentral:tRNA from 1 species